GAUGAACGCUAGCGGCAGGCUUAACACAUGCAAGUCGAGGGGCAGCGGGGCGUAGCAAUACGCUGCCGGCGACCGGCGGACGGGUGCGUAACGCGUAUGCAACUUUCCCAUCACAGGGGGAUAAUCCGAAGAAAUUUGGUCUAAUACCCCAUAAUAUCAGAGCAGGCAUCUGUUUUGGUUGAAAUUUUCGGAGGUGAUGGAUGGGCAUGCGUAGCAUUAGCUUGUUGGUGAGGUAACGGCUCACCAAGGCGACGAUGCUUAGGGGGACUGAGAGGUUAACCCCCACACUGGUACUGAGACACGGACCAGACUCCUACGGGAGGCAGCAGUGAGGAAUAUUGGUCAAUGGGCGGAAGCCUGAACCAGCCAUGCCGCGUGCAGGAUGACGGCUCUAUGAGUUGUAAACUGCUUUUGUACGAGGGUAAAGUGGGGUACGUGUACCCUUUUGAAAGUAUCGUACGAAUAAGGAUCGGCUAACUCCGUGCCAGCCGCCGCGGUAAGAC
rnacentral:rRNA from 1 species